rnacentral:lncRNA from 1 species
CUGAAGGUCAGAAACUUGGGCAUUGCCUAUGUGACUACUGACCAUGCUUCUCUUGUGGGAGCUGUGGGGAGUGGGCGGUAACUUAGGCAGGGGCCAGAGUUCCAGGAGCAUGAGGGAAUGCCUACCGUGUCAUGAAGGUGAAUUAUGACUAUCGGGGUUCAGACCUUAGCUCAACUGGAGACCAGCCUGCAAUUCCCCACAACAAGUCUUGCAGCUUGUGAGAGGAGAUGUACUUUGCUCAGCCCACAAUUAAUUAUUGAAGUCCAAGGCCUAGUGAAGUUGUAUGGUAAUGUUUGCAUUCUCUCGCAUGACUUCAGUUACUGCCUAGUUUUGUGGAACAAACUCAGUCCUACCUCCAAAGCACCAGAGAUGUAAAGCCAACUGCUAUUGAAUGUCUCCAACGUUCUACCACAUUUUGGACACCAGGCAGCCAUGGAAGAACCAAGCUCUUUAGCACUGUGCAAACAUUUUUUUCCUUUUCUUUCCAGGUUAGUUAGCACCACUGCUACUCAGUUGCUCAAGGCAGAGCCUGUUUUGUUUUUUGGUUUUUGUUUUUGUUUUUUUUUUUUCUUGCAUUCCACCGCACCUCUUAAUUCAUUUGAACUCUGUAACUU